UACAGAGGGUGCGAGCGUUGUUCGGAAUUAUUGGGCGUAAAGAGCUCGUAGGCGGCCUGUUGCGUCCGCUGUGAAAGCCCGGGGCUUAACCCCGGGUCGGCAGUGGAUACGGGCAGGCUAGAGGUAGGUAGGGGAGAAUGGAAUUCCCGGUGUAGCGGUGAAAUGCGCAGAUAUCGGGAGGAACACCGGUGGCGAAGGCGGUUCUCUGGGCCUUACCUGACGCUGAGGAGCGAAAGCGUGGGGAGCGAACAGG
rnacentral:rRNA from 1 species